UACGUAGGGUGCAAGCGUUGCCCGGAUUUAUUGGGCGUAAAGGGCGCGUAGGCGGCUCUGCACGUCCGUUGUGAAAUCGCCCGGCUCAACUGGGCGGGGUCAGCGGAUACGGCAGAGCUUGAGCAAGCUAGGGGGCAAUGGAAUUCCCGGUGUAGUGGUGGAAUGCGCAGAUAUCGGGAGGAACACCAGUGGCGAAGGCGGUUGCCUGGGGCUUUGCUGACGCUGAUGCGCGAAAGCGUGGGGAGCGAUCCGG
rnacentral:rRNA from 1 species